GUUAUAUUUUAUUUAAUAAAAAUAAUUUUAAUUAAUAUAAGUUUUAGUAUUGUUUAUAGAAAAAAUUUUUUUUUAUUAUAGUUGAAUUGUAUUGUAAAAGAUUAUUGAAAUAUUCAUUUAUUUAUAUAAAAGAAAAAUUAAUUUUUUGUACCUUGUGUAUCAGGGUUUAUUAAAUAAAUAUUAUUUAUUUUAAUUUUCUCGAGUUUAAGAGAGUUAAUAGUUUAUUUUUUUUAUUGUAGCAAAAAUAUUUAUAAUAAAUUAUUAGUAAUGAAAUGUUAUUCGUUCUUAAAUAUAUCUAGUUUAUUUAGAAAUGAAUUUAAUUCAUAAAUAUUAAUUUUAAUUUAUUAAUUAUUUAAUAAAUUAAUAAAUAUAUUUAAAUAAUUAAAGGGAUCAGCUUUUAAUUAAAAAUUUAUAAAUUAUUUUUAAGAUUUAAUAAAAUGUAAGUUUAGAAAUAGCUAUCAAUAAUAAUUUGUUAUAAUUAAUUUUUUAUAGUAUAAUAAUAUUUUAAAUAAUUUUAAAUUUUUUAUAAAUAUAUAGGUUUUAAUUAUAAAUAUUUAGAAAUAAUGAUAAAAUUAGUAUAUUUAAAUUAUAUUGAAUAAUAUAAUUAUAAGAGAUUAUUUAAAGGAAUUCGGCAAAUAUUUUGCUCGCCUGUUUAACAAAAACAUGUCCUUUUGAUAUUAAUUUAAGGUCUAGCCUGCCCAAUGAAUAAAUUUUUAAUGGCCGCAGUAAUUUGACUGUGCAAAGGUAGCAUAAUCAUUAGUUUUUUAAUUAAAAGCUUGUAUGAAAGGUUGGACGAGGUAAAAUCUGUCUCUAUUUAAUUUACAAUAGAAUUUUAUUUUUAAGUUAAAAAGCUUAAAUAAUUAUAAAAGACGAGAAGACCCUAUAGAUCUUUAUAUUUAUUUUAUUAAAAUUAAUUAAGAUUAUUUUAAAUUUUAUUAAUUAUAAAUAUUUUAUUGGGGUAAUAGAAAGAUUAAAAAAAUUCUUUUUAAUUUAUACAUUAAUUUAUGAAUAUAUGAUCCAAUUUUAUUGAUUAUAAGAUUAAGUUACCUUAGGGAUAACAGCGUAAUUUUUUUAGAGAGUUCAUAUCGAUAAAAAAGUUUGCGACCUCGAUGUUGGAUUAAAGAUUAGUUUAGGUGUAGUCGUUUAAAUUUUUGGUCUGUUCGACCAUUAAAUCUUUACAUGAUCUGAGUUCAGACCGGUGUAAGCCAGGUCGGUUUCUAUCUUUAUAAAUUUAUAAUAUUUUAGUACGAAAGGACCAAAUAUUGAAUAUAUUAAUAUUUUAUUAUUUGAAUAUUAAUAAA
rnacentral:rRNA from 1 species